GAUGAACGCUGGCGGCGUGCCUAAUACAUGCAAGUAGAACGCUGAAGGAGGAGCUUGCUCUUCUGGAUGAGUUGCGAACGGGUGAGUAACGCGUAGGUAACCUGCCUGGUAGCGGGGGAUAACUAUUGGAAACGAUAGCUAAUACCGCAUGACAACAGUUAUUGCAUGAUAACUGUUUAAAAGGGGCAACUGCUCCACUACCAGAUGGACCUGCGUUGUAUUAGCUAGUUGGUGAGGUAACGGCUCACCAAGGCGACGAUACAUAGCCGACCUGAGAGGGUGAUCGGCCACACUGGGACUGAGACACGGCCCAGACUCAUACGGGAGGCAGCAGUAGGGAAUCUUCGGCAAUGGACGGAAGUCUGACCGAGCAACGCCGCGUGAGUGAAGAAGGUUUUCGGAUCGUAAAGCUCGGUUGUAAGAGAAGAACGAGUGUGAGAGUGGAAAGUUCACACUGUGACGGUAUCUUACCAGAAAGGGACGGCUAACUACGUG
rnacentral:rRNA from 1 species